UACGAACCGUACGAACGUUAUUCGGAAUCACUGGGCUUAAAGGGUGCGUAGGCUGCGCAGAAAGUUGGGUGUGAAAUCCCUCGGCUUAACCGAGGAACUGCGCCCAAAACUACUGUGCUCGAGGGAGACAGAGGUGAGCGGAACUUAGGGUGGAGCGGUGAAAUGACGUUGAUAUCCUAAGGAACACCGGUGGCGAAAGCGGCUCACUGGGUCUCUUCUGACGCUGAGGCACGAAAGCUAGGGGAGCGAACGGGAGUAG
rnacentral:rRNA from 1 species